rnacentral:rRNA from 1 species
UACGAAGGGAGCUAGCGUUGUUCGGAAUUACUGGGCGUAAAGGGCGCGUAGGCGGCUUGGCAAGUUGGGUGUGAAAGCCCAGGGCUCAACCCUGGAAUUGCACUCAAGACUGCCUUGCUUGAAUUCGGUAGAGGUUGGUGGAAUUCCCAGUGUAGAGGUGAAAUUCGUAGAGAUUGGGAAGAACACCCGUGGCGAAGGCGGCCAACUGGACCGACAUUGACGCUGAGGCGCGAAAGCGUGGGGGAUCAAACAGGG